rnacentral:misc_RNA from 1 species
UCUCCGUAGGUGAACCUGCGGAGGGAUCAUUACAGAGUUCAUGCCCUACCGGGUAGAUCUCCCACCCUAUGUUAUUAUUACUUUGUUGCUUUGGCGGGCCGUUAGGCUCCGGCCCGACUACCGGCCCCGGCUGGUAAGCGCCCGCCAGAGGACCCAAACUCGUUUGUUUAGUGAUGUCUGAGUACUAUAUAAUAGUUAAAACUUUCAACAACGGAUCUCUUGGUUCUG